rnacentral:misc_RNA from 1 species
UCUCCGUAGGUGAACCUGCGGAAGGAUCAUUAUUGAAUAAACUUGGUUGGGUUGUUGCUGGCUCCUCGGAGCAUGUGCACGCUCGCUCCAUUUUUAACCACCUGCGCACCUUGUGUAGAUCUGAACAACUCUCGGGGAAACUCGGUCAGAGGAUUGCUGUGUGUAAAAGCCAGCUUUUCUUGGGUUCAGAUCUAUGUCUCUAUAUACACCAUAAGAAUGUAUUGGAAUGUAAUUGACAGGCGUUACAGCCUUUAAAAAUCAAAUACAACUUUCAACAACGGAUCUCUUGGCUCUC